rnacentral:rRNA from 1 species
AGCUAAUAGAUACCCUGGUAGUCCACGCCCUAAACGAUGUCUACUAGUUGUUGGUGGAGUAAAACUCCAUGAGUAAACGCAGCUAACGCGUGAAGUAGACCGCCUGGGGAGUACGGUCGCAAGAUUAAAAACUCAAAGGAAUUGACGGGGGCCCGCACAAGCGGUGGAUUAUGUGGAUUAAUUCGAUGCAACGCGAAAAACCCUUACCUGGCCUUGACAUGCCACUAACGAAGCAGAGAUGCAUUAGGUGCCCGUAAGGGAAAAGUGGACACAGGUGCUGCAUGGCUGUCGUCAGCUCGUGUCGUGAGAUGUU